rnacentral:rRNA from 1 species
AUGCCCGUCUUCACUGCCGUCUUGGUGAUGGCCCUGUUGAUCACUGCAUCAUCUUCAGGAGAAGUUUCAACGACAGAACGUGAUAGGGAUGCCUCCAAAGUGACAAAGGGUCACACUUCUCUUUACCAUCUUCAGAUGCAGAGCCACAGCAGGAUGAGGAUUCUGACGGAUUUUCUGGACUACGACUACGGAGGAGCCAACUCCAAACACGAUCCACACAGGAGGCCCGGGAAUGGGGGACAUUAG